rnacentral:lncRNA from 1 species
GGGAGCCUCACUGUAUUGCCCAGGCUGGUCUUGAACUCCGGAGCUCAAGUGAUCGUCUUGCUUCAGCCUUCCAAAAUGAUGGUGAAGCUGCAUCAUUGUCUGGGGUAAAUACCUGAGGUUCGUUGUCUCACGCCAAGGGAAUCAAGGACGUGGACACACAAGAAAUGGGGUACCUAUCUGACCAGGCCAUGUUGUAUGUUCCUUACUGUACACGUGGUUGACAAAGAAAAGGGAAGAUGGAGCUGCGAUGUUGGACAUGCCUGGCCCCCAGGACAUACAGCCCUGCCGAGCAAACAAUGAACGUAACUCACAAACUUCCUGCUUAUCAUCAAACGCACGCAUCCACUUAUCAUCAAACACCUCGGGUGACAGAAGAAUGCAGGUCAGCUCCCUGCUGCCUUGGCAUUAUCAAUCAGCCCAGGAACCAUCCUAUAAAAUCUCCAGCAAGCCUUUGUUUCUUGCAGUCAGCUCCUCUUCCACUGAUUCUGCCUGUUGCUCCCUGAUAACCUACUUUGAUACUGUCUUUAAUAAAUCUGCUUUUCUUCACCCACAGCUGUCUUGGUAAGUUCUUUUACCUCUGUGCCACCAGCCCAAAUAGUUGCUGCUCACCUGAGACAAAGAAUAAAUGUGGUUUUUAAGCAAAUCAAAGUUUACUUAGUGA